UACGUAGGGGGCAAGCGUUGUCCGGAAUCAUUGGGCGUAAAGAGCGUGUAGGCGGCCUGAUAAGUCCGCUGUGAAAGUCCAGGGCUCAACCCUGGAAUGCCAGUGGAAACUGUCGGGCUGGAGUCCGGAAGAGGCGAAUGGAAUUCCUGGUGUAGCGGUGAAAUGCGCUGAUAUCAGGAGGAACACCGAUUGCGAAGGCAGCUCGCUGGGACGUAACUGACGCUGAGACGCGAAAGCGUGGGGAGCAAACAGG
rnacentral:rRNA from 1 species